GGGAGUAAGUGGAGGGGGUGGAAUGCAAAAUAAUUAUUGUAGGGUAAACCCGAUUAUAAAUUCUACUCUCUCUUGUUGUUCGUUUGUCAGACUACCACCGCAGCCGUCAGACAUGGCUACUGCUUUUUCGUGCAAGUUCAAAAAAAUCUGGCCUCCCGAUUUGGGUAAAUCAUCGGGUGUUGAAGAACGAUCGUUGACUGCUCAUCGAAUUUCGGAAGACCCAUCUCGUUUCAGGUUUAGGAUGCUAAAACAGGCACCGACUUAUUCAUCUUUGAAGGUCAUGAUGCACCUGUUAGUUCUAUAUGCCGCAUAGUAAAGAUAACAUUAAGUAUAUCUUUUCAACGGCUAUCAACGGAAAGAUCAAGGCAUGGUUACAUGUUGAUCGGGUUUCAAAAAUUGAUUAUGAAACCGAUGGUUAUGUCUGGACGAAAUGGCAUACAAUACUGAUGGGUCAUGUAACGCUUAGCAUUUCUGUAUAAUCCAUAUUUAGACGAAAUGGCAUACAAUACUGAUGGGUCAUGUAAUGCUUAGCAUUUCUGUAUAAUCCAUAUUUAGACGAAAUGGCAUACAAUACUGAUGGGUUAUGUAACGCUUAGCAUUUCUGUAUAAUCCAUAUUUAGAAAGUUGUAUUCUCAUUUAUAUUUAUAGAAACUUGUAUUCGUAUUUCAUUUCCAAUCUUGUAAUCCGAGACUUCGAUCAUAAUAAGAAAAUCGUAUUUAUAUCAA